AGCUUAUACUUUACACACUAUGUCCACUAUUAUUUGCAAAAUUACAUCGGGGAAAAAGUCGGCCCUGACGAAAAGCUUCCUUGGGUACAAGGUGUCCUUAGAAAGGGCUUCACAGCACUUGAAAAACUCUUGAAGGACCACACGGGAAGAUAUGCAACGGGAGAUGAAAUUUCCUAGUAUGUUGGUAUUUUAAGGGGGCAGAUGCUAUAGUCUCAUGGGUGAUAUUGGAAUAGUUUUGUGUUGCUUGCAUUUACAUUAAUUGCUAUGGCUGGAAUUCAUAUGUUGUUGGCUUUAUUAACACUUAACGGAGUUGUAUUGCUAUAGCUGAAAUUUGUUUGUGCAAUUCUGGUUGUUGUAUUUUUUAUUUUCUGCACUUCUAUUUGCUGUGGCUGAAAGUUGUAUUGUUAUUUUUGGUUAUUUCCUUUUCACCAUGAACUAGAAACAUCGGAUGAC